rnacentral:rRNA from 1 species
GCAAGUCGAACGAACCUUCUGUUGAGUGGCGCACGGGUGCGUAACGCGUGGGAAUAUACCCUUGGGUACGGAACAACGUCUGGAAACGGACGCUAAUACCGUAUAAUGACUUCGGUCCAAAGAUUCAUCGCCCAGGGAUUAGCCCGCGUUAGAUUAGAUAGUUGGUGAGGUAAUGGCUCACCAAGUCGACGAUCUAUAGGGGGUCUGAGAGGAUGAUC